UUGUUUGUUUCGGCAUUCAACUUUGAAGACCGGAAAAUUUUUCGGCCGAGAAGCCAAUUUUCAUUAUUAAUGGCCGCUAUCUUCAGUACACUUCUUUUCCUGCUCACUUUAUCAGGUUAAGUGCAGGUACUAAUGGAAAUGGGCUGGCUACUCCUAGCAUCAAUAAAGAGUCUUGCAAGCUUAGAUGUUUAUAAAUCUGUUGAACAAUGUUCCUUUUAUCUUGAUCCGCCUGUGGAUCCCUUACAACCGUUUUUGUAAUAAUUGAUAUUACUUUCAUUCGGUUUGUAAUGCCGUUAUCUU
rnacentral:lncRNA from 1 species